GAUGAACGCUGGCGGCGUGCCUAAUACAUGCAAGUCGAGCGAACAGACGAGGAGCUUGCUCCUCUGACGUUAGCGGCGGACGGGUGAGUAACACGUGGAUAACCUACCUAUCAGACUGGGAUAACUUCGGGAAACCGGAGCUAAUACCGGAUAAUAUAUUGAACCGCAUGGUUCAAUAGUGAAAGACGGUUUUGCUGUCACUUAUAGAUGGAUCCGCGCCGCAUUAGCUAGUUGGUAAGGUAACGGCUUACCAAGGCAACGAUGCGUAGCCGACCUGAGAGGGUGGUCGGCCACCCGGGAACUUAGACACGGUCCAGACUCCUACGGGAGGCAGCAGUAGGGAAUCUUCCGCAAUGGGCGAAAGCCUGACGGAGCAACGCCGCGUGAGUGAUGAAGGUCUUCGGAUCGUAAAACUCUGUUAUUAGGGAAGAACAAAUGUGUAAGUAACUAUGCACGUCUUGACGGUACCUAAUCAGAAAGCCACGGCUAACUACGUG
rnacentral:rRNA from 1 species